GACAGAGGUCCCGAGCGUUAGGCGGAAUCACUGGGCUUAAAGCGUGUGUAGGCGGAUCGUUAAGUGCCUUGUGAAAUCCCAUGGCUUAACCAUGGAACUGCUUGGCAUACUGGCGGUCUUGAGCCACUUAGGGGCAACCGGAACAAAUGGUGGAGCGGUGAAAUGCGUAGAUAUCAUUUGGAACGCCAAUGGUGAAAACAGGUUGCUGGGAGUGUGCUGACGCUGAGACACGAAAGCCAGGGGAGCGAACAGG
rnacentral:rRNA from 1 species